UAGGGAAUCUUCCACAAUGGACGCAAGUCUGAUGGAGCAACGCCGCGUGAGUGAAGAAGGUCCUUCGGAUCGUAAAACUCUGUUGUUAGAGAAGAACACGAGUGAGAGUAACUGUUCAUUCGAUGACGGUAUCUAACCAGCAAGUCACGGCUAACUACGUGCAG
rnacentral:rRNA from 1 species